GCCUUCAACAAUGAGCAAAGCCCAUACCGCAUAGUCAGCUCUAAAAGACCCCGAUAAGACAAUGUAAAAUAAUUCAAACGAGAAAACUAACGGACUUAUUAAUGUAAAAAAAGAACGAAAAACAAAUAUGUAAUACAUAAACAAACGACAACCACUGAAUUACAGGGUCCUGACUUGGGACAGGCACACACAUAAAUAAUGUGGCGGGG
rnacentral:lncRNA from 1 species